UACCUGGAGAGAGUCUUCCUCGUGCUGCCUUCAGGUCCUGUCUGCUGACUCUCAUGACAACAGUGACAUGGUUCUGUUUCUUCUAUGUUAAAGGGACUGUUGUCAGGAACGAGUUUCACCCAGCUCACAGCCUGGAUCCAUGUGCGUUCCAGAUGUUUCCGUCAGGACAGACGUGCUGAGAGAAGUCACUCGGCACCACCUGUGGUCAACACUCUGACACAGUGGCAUCCUUCAUGAGAGCUGCUCAGGUGACCGCGCUGGUGAGAAGAACUGGAACUGUGUUUGGAGUGAAGGGAGCAUCAGUCCAGGAGAGGAGUUUUGGGUCUCGUGGCAGGACGUUGUGGUUGGUUGACCUGGAACUGAUUCUGUUUAUGGACGGACUGGAGGGAAAUCCUGGAGCCUCAGAAAGAAAAGUGAUAAUAGAGCUGCUGUGUGCUGUUCUAUAUUUCUAUAUGCUGUUAAGUGUUUCUAUCAGCUGUGGUCGAAUGUUCUUCAAGUCAAACGGAGGAGUUGACAGGAAUGUCACUCAACACUACAGGGAAUGAAAUAAACAAAAGUCCCCAGGCCUGACUGACCUCCAGGCCUUUAUAUUGUCACUGAGAGUGACCCCCAGAAUACCUGACCACCACCAGCCCCCUCCCUUAAAUACUCAGU